CCUACGGGUGGCAGCAGUGGGGAAUAUUGGGCAAUGGGCGCAAGCCUGACCCAGCAACGCCGCGUGAAGGAAGAAGGCUUUAUGGUUGUAAACUUCUUUUCUUACGAACGAAGCAAGUGACGCUACCUGCGGUCUAAGCCACGGCUAACUAUGUGCCACCAGUCGCGGUAUUACGUAGGUGGCAAGCGUUAUCCGGAUUUACUGGGUGUAAAGGUCGUGUAGGCGGGACUGCAAGUUAGAUGUGAAAACCACGGGCUCAACCUGUGAAGUGCAUUUGAUACUGUAGUUCUUGAGUGCAGGAGCGGUAGACGGAAUGCAUGGUGUAGCGGUGAAAUGCGUAGAGAUUAGGAAGAACACCGGUGGCGAAGGCAGUCUACCAAGCAACAACUGACGUUGAGGCGCGAAAGCGUGGGGAGCAAACAGGAUUAGAUACCCCUGUAGUC
rnacentral:rRNA from 1 species